UCAAAAACUUUGUUUAUAGUCUGCAAUACA
rnacentral:piRNA from 1 species